rnacentral:rRNA from 1 species
GACGAACGCUGGCGGCGUGCUUAACACAUGCAAGUCGAACGGAAAGGCUCCAGCUUGCUGGAGUACUCGAGUGGCGAACGGGUGAGUAACACGUGGGUGACCUGCCCUGGACUUUGGGAUAAGUCUGGGAAACUGGGGCUAAUACCGGAUAGGACCGCAUGCUGGAGUGUGUGGUGGGAAGGUUUUCCGGGGGUGGGGUGGGUCUGCGGGCUAUCAGGUUGUUGGUGGGGUAAUGGCCUACCAAGGCGUCGACGGGGAGGCGGGCUGAGGGGGUGGACGGGCACAUUUGGACUGAGAUACGGCCCAGACUCCUACGGGAGGGAGCAGUGGGGAAUAUUGCACAAUGGGGCGAACCCUGAUUCAGCGACGCCGCGUGGGGGGUGAAGGCCUUCGGGUUGGAAACUCCUUUCGCUAGGGACGAAGCUUUUUGUGACGGUACCUGGAGAAGAAGCACCGGCUAACUACGUG